UACGAAGGGGGCUAGCGUUGCUCGGAAUCACUGAGCGUAAAGGGCGCGUAGGCGGCCAUUCAAGUCGGGGGUGAAAGCCUGUGGCUCAACCACAGAAUUGCCUUCGAUACUGUUUGGCUUGAGUUUUGGUAGAGGUUGGUGGAACUGCGAGUGUAGAGGUGAAAUUCGUAGAUAUUCGCAAGAACACCAGUGGCGAAGGCGGCCAACUGGACCAACACUGACGCUG
rnacentral:rRNA from 1 species